UAAUCUACUACUGCCCUACAA
rnacentral:piRNA from 1 species